UCCGUUAUCGUCCAGCGGUUAGGAUAUCUGCCUUUCACCCAGGAGACCCGGGUUCGAUCCCCGGUGACGGAA
rnacentral:tRNA from 1 species